UACGUAGGGACCAAGCGUUGUUCGGAUUUACUGGGCGUAAAGGGCGCGUAGGCGGCUUAACAAGUCACUUGUGAAAUCUCCGGGCUUAACUCGGAACGGCCAAGUGAAACUGUCAAGCUAGAGUGCAGAAGGGGCAAUCGGAACUCUUGGUGUAGCGGUGAAAUGCGUAGAUAUCAAGAGGAACACCUGAGGUGAAGACGGGUUGCUGGGCUGACACUGACGCUGAGGCGCGAAAGCCAGGGGAGCAAACGGG
rnacentral:rRNA from 1 species